UUAAGCGACUAAGCGUACACGGUGGAUGCCCUGGCAGUCAGAGGCGAUGAAGGACGUGCUAAUCUGCGAAAAGCGUCGGUAAGGUGAUAUGAACCGUUAUAACCGGCGAUGUCCGAAUGGGGAAACCCAGUGNUGUGAACUCGAAGAGUAGGGCGGGACACGUGGUAUCCUGUCUGAAUAUGGGGGGACCAUCCUCCAAGGCUAAAUACUCCUGACUGACCGAUAGUGAACCAGUACCGUGAGGGAAAGGCGAAAAGAACCCCGGCGAGGGGAGUGAAAAAGAACCUGAAACCGUGUACGUACAAGCAGUGGGAGCACCUUCGGGUGUGACUGCGUACCUUUUGUAUAAUGGGUCAGCGACUUAUAUUCUGUAGCAAGGUUAACCGUAUAGGGGAGCCGCAGGGAAACCGAGUCUUAACUGGGCGUUAAGUUGCAGGGUAUAGACCCGAAACCCGGUGAUCUAGCCAUGGGCAGGUUGAAGGUUGGGUAACACUAACUGGAGGACCGAACCGACUAAUGUUGAAAAAUUAGCGGAUGACUUGUGGCUGGGGGUGAAAGGCCAAUCAAACCGGGAGAUAGCUGGUUCUCCCCGAAAGCUAUUUAGGUAGCGCCUCGUGAACUCAUCUUCGGGGGUAGAGCACUGUUUCGGCUAGGGGGUCAUCCCGACUUACCAACCCGAUGCAAACUACGAAUACCGAAGAAUGUUAUCACGGGAGACACACGGCGGGUGCUAACGUCCGUCGUGAAGAGGGAAACAACCCAGACCGCCAGCUAAGGUCCCAAAGUCAUGGUUAAGUGGGAAACGAUGUGGGAAGGCACAGACAGCCAGGAUGUUGGCUUAGAAGCAGCCAUCAUUUAAAGAAAGCGUAAUAGCUCACUGGUCGAGUCGGCCUGCGCGGAAGAUGUAACGGGGCUAAACCAUGCACCGAAGCUGCGGCAGCGACACUAUGUGUUGUUGGGUAGGGGAGCGUUCUGUAAGCCUGCGAAGGUGUGCUGUGAGGCAUGCUGGAGGUAUCAGAAGUGCGAAUGCUGACAUAAGUAACGAUAAAGCGGGUGAAAAGCCCGCUCGCCGGAAGACCAAGGGUUCCUGUCCAACGUUAAUCGGGGCAGGGUGAGUCGACCCCUAAGGCGAGGCCGAAAGGCGUAGUCGAUGGGAAACAGGUUAAUAUUCCUGUACUUGGUGUUACUGCGAAGGGGGGACGGAGAAGGCUAUGUUAGCCGGGCGACGGUUGUCCCGGUUUAAGCAUGUAGGCUGAUUGUCCAGGCAAAUCCGGAUAAUCAAGGCUGAGGUGUGAUGACGAGGCACUACGGUGCUGAAGUAACAAAUGCCCUGCUUCCAGGAAAAGCCUCUAAGCAUCAGGUAACAUUAAAUCGUACCCCAAACCGACACAGGUGGUCAGGUAGAGAAUACCAAGGCGCUUGAGAGAACUCGGGUGAAGGAACUAGGCAAAAUGGUGCCGUAACUUCGGGAGAAGGCACGCUGGUGUGUAGGUGAAGUCCCUGCGGAUGGAGCUGAGACCAGUCGAAGAUACCAGCUGGCUGCAACUGUUUAUUAAAAACACAGCACUGUGCAAACACGAAAGUGGACGUAUACGGUGUGACGCCUGCCCGGUGCCGGAAGGUUAAUUGAUGGGGUUAUCCGUAAGGAGAAGCUCUUGAUCGAAGCCCCGGUAAACGGCGGCCGUAACUAUAACGGUCCUAAGGUAGCGAAAUUCCUUGUCGGGUAAGUUCCGACCUGCACGAAUGGCGUAAUGAUGGCCAGGCUGUCUCCACCCGAGACUCAGUGAAAUUGAACUCGCUGUGAAGAUGCAGUGUACCCGCGGCAAGACGGAAAGACCCCGUGAACCUUUACUAUAGCUUGACACUGAACAUUGAGCCUUGAUGUGUAGGAUAGGUGGGAGGCUUUGAAGCGUGGACGCCAGUCUGCGUGGAGCCAACCUUGAAAUACCACCCUUUAAUGUUUGAUGUUCUAACGUUGGCCCCUGACCGGGGUUGCGGACAGUGUCUGGUGGGUAGUUUGACUGGGGCGGUCUCCUCCCAAAGCGUAACGGAGGAGCACGAAGGUUAGCUAAUCCUGGUCGGACAUCNCAAGGCUGAGGUGUGAUGACGAGGCACUACGGUGCUGAAGUAACAAAUGCCCUGCUUCCAGGAAAAGCCUCUAAGCAUCAGGUAACAUCAAAUCGUACCCCAAACCGACACAGGUGGUCAGGUAGAGAAUACCAAGGCGCUUGAGAGAACUCGGGUGAAGGAACUAGGCAAAAUGGUGCCGUAACUUCGGGAGAAGGCACGCUGGUGUGUAGGUGAAGUCCCUGCGGAUGGAGCUGAGACCAGUCGAAGAUACCAGCUGGCUGCAACUGUUUAUUAAAAACACAGCACUGUGCAAACACGAAAGUGGACGUAUACGGUGUGACGCCUGCCCGGUGCCGGAAGGUUAAUUGAUGGGGUUAUCCGUAAGGAGAAGCUCUUGAUCGAAGCCCCGGUAAACGGCGGCCGUAACUAUAACGGUCCUAAGGUAGCGAAAUUCCUUGUCGGGUAAGUUCCGACCUGCACGAAUGGCGUAAUGAUGGCCAGGCUGUCUCCACCCGAGACUCAGUGAAAUUGAACUCGCUGUGAAGAUGCAGUGUACCCGCGGCAAGACGGAAAGACCCCGUGAACCUUUACUAUAGCUUGACACUGAACAUUGAGCCUUGAUGUGUAGGAUAGGUGGGAGGCUUUGAAGCGUGGACGCCAGUCUGCGUGGAGCCAACCUUGAAAUACCACCCUUUAAUGUUUGAUGUUCUAACGUUGGCCCCUGACCGGGGUUGCGGACAGUGUCUGGUGGGUAGUUUGACUGGGGCGGUCUCCUCCCAAAGCGUAACGGAGGAGCACGAAGGUUAGCUAAUCCUGGUCGGACAUCAGGAGGUUAGUGCAAUGGCAUAAGCUAGCUUGACUGCGAGCGUGACGGCGCGAGCAGGUGCGAAAGCAGGUCAUAGUGAUCCGGUGGUUCUGAAUGGAAGGGCCAUCGCUCAACGGAUAAAAGGUACUCCGGGGAUAACAGGCUGAUACCGCCCAAGAGUUCAUAUCGACGGCGGUGUUUGGCACCUCGAUGUCGGCUCAUCACAUCCUGGGGCUGAAGUAGGUCCCAAGGGUAUGGCUGUUCGCCAUUUAAAGUGGUACGCGAGCUGGGUUUAGAACGUCGUGAGACAGUUCGGUCCCUAUCUGCCGUGGGCGCUGGAGAAUUGAGGGGGGCUGCUCCUAGUACGAGAGGACCGGAGUGGACGCAUCACUGGUGUUCGGGUUGUCAUGCCAAUGGCACUGCCCGGUAGCUAAAUGCGGAAGAGAUAAGUGCUGAAAGCAUCUAAGCACGAAACUUGCCCCGAGAUGAGUUCUCCCUGAGACUNGACGUUGAUAGGCCGGGUGUGUAAGCGCAGCGAUGCGUUGAGCUAACCGGUACUAAUGAACCGUGAGGCUUAACCUU
rnacentral:rRNA from 1 species